AAUUUUUGAAAAUGGGGGAAACCCUGAUCCAGCCAUCCCGCGUGUGUGAUGAAGGCCACCGGGAUGUCAAGCACUUUUGCCAGGGAAGAAAUAGCAGGGGCUAAUAUCCUCUGUGAAUGACGGUACCUGUAGAAUAAGCACCGGCUAACUACGUGCCAGCAGCCGCGGUAAUACGUAGGGUGCAAGCGUUAAUCGGAAUUACUGGGCGUAAAGGGUACGCAGGCGGCUAGGAGAGAAAGAUGUGAAAUCCCAGGGCUCAACCUUGGAACUGCAUUUUCAACUACCCAGCUAGAGUAUGUCAGAGGGGGGUAGAAUUCCACGUGUAGCAGUGAAAUGCGUAGAGAUGUGGAGGAAUACCGAUGGCGAAGGCAGCCCCCUGGGAUAAUACUGACGCUCAGGUACGAAAGCGUGGGGAGCAAACA
rnacentral:rRNA from 1 species